rnacentral:rRNA from 1 species
UGGACCAGACUUUGAUCCUGGCUCAGGACGAACGCUGGCGGCGCGCCUAACACAUGCAAGUCGAACGAGAAAGAGGGAGCUUGCUCCUCCAAUCGAGUGGCGAACGGGUGAGUAACGCGUGAGGAACCUGCCUCAAAGAGGGGGACAACAGUUGGAAACGACUGCUAAUACCGCAUAAGCCCACGGCUCGGCAUCGAGCAGAGGGAAAAGGAGCAAUCCGCUUUGAGAUGGCCUCGCGUCCGAUUAGCUAGUUGGUGAGGUAACGGCCCACCAAGGCGACGAUCGGUAGCCGGACUGAGAGGUUGAACGGCCACAUUGGGACUGAGACACGGCCCAGACUCCUACGGGAGGCAGCAGUGGGGAAUAUUGCACAAUGGGGGAAACCCUGAUGCAGCGACGCCGCGUGGAGGAAGAAGGUCUUCGGAUUGUAAACUCCUGUUGUUGGGGAAGAUAAUGACGGUACCCAACAAGGAAGUGACGGCUAACUACGUGCCAGCAGCCGCGGUAAAACGUAGGUCACAAGCGUUGUCCGGAAUUACUGGGUGUAAAGGGAGCGCAGGCGGGAAGACAAGUUGGAAGUGAAAUCUAUGGGCUCAACCCAUAAACUGCUUUCAAAACUGUUUUUCUUGAGUAGUGCAGAGGUAGGCGGAAUUCCCGGUGUAGCGGUGGAAUGCGUAGAUAUCGGGAGGAACACCAGUGGCGAAGGCGGCCUACUGGGCACCAACUGACGCUGAGGCUCGAAAGUGUGGGUAGCAAACAGGAUUAGAUACCCUGGUAGUCCACACCGUAAACGAUGAUUACUAGGUGUUGGAGGAUUGACCCCUUCAGUGCCGCAGUUAACACAAUAAGUAAUCCACCUGGGGAGUACGACCGCAAGGUUGCAACUCAAAGGAAUUGACGGA